GUUUGGGGUUGCCAUAUUCGGUUGCUUUGUACAGAAGCCAUGCACAGUUCCCUUGUCAAAAUCGAUUGGGAAGGCCUGAAUAUACAGCGUGUCCUAAGGUUCAUUAUGUUCUGGGUACACAUGCACCUCCUAGAAUAAAUGUGUUACAUGGAAAUCAGGAAUGACUGCUUGUUCUCAAGAAGUCUAAAAUACAAGGAGUGAUCAAAUAUAAACAGUGAUCUAGAAUUAUCUUCUCUGAAUGCCUCUGAAUUUCUGUCUCUCAUUUAUGGCCUUUCGUACCCCCUGCACUUCCCCUGCUUGAAAAGCUAUUAAUUUCCCCACCUCCCCAUCACCCUAGACUCUGAUCCCCAUAAACAAUCUAUGCUUUUUUUAUGUCCUCUUUUUUAAAAAUACAUUCCCUGUGUUUACUUUCUCAGUGGUGGCAUAUACGAGAAAGAAAACUGUGGAAACUCCGUGAGCAUGGCAGAUGCUUCCAGUCCUGUCUUUGCCACUUACAAGCUCUGUGUCUUUUGUUAAACAGAAAAUAUUUAUACUUUGGAGCACUUACCCUACAGCUGCGCUAAGGCUCCCAUAGAUGUAGCUCCAAGGAGCAGAGCCCCAGCCUUUUUGAUCCAGUGCAAGAAGUUUGGCAAGAGAACCUCUGGUAAGGGGCUUUCCGCGAGCAUGCUGCUUGUAGAAAGGCCAUGUCAGCCCCCCCCUCCCCCGCCAUUUAGAGCCGGGCAGUGAACCCCAUUCUGAGUAUCUUCCUCAACAUCAUGACCCACCUUCCUUCUUCUCCCUCCUGCUUCCCCCUUGUAACUGUCACCAAUAUCAACAAGCUCCAGUGACAACAAAAACCUGGCUGGGGUGGGGGGGUGCUCAAUCCCUGGUAGACAGUACUACAUGAUCUUCUAUGUAUGAGGUGUAGAGGCUUUGGGUGUCAAGGACAUCAUGAGACUUUCAGAAGAAGACCUAUGUACAUAACCUAUGUGUGCAUGGGGUGUGUGUAUGUUCUCCAUUGCCUGUGUUUAUAAUAUAUGUACUAAUCAUGAGCAUGAUAUGAUACAUAAUUCUGAACACACUACAAAUGAUGAUACUAUGAACACACACAUGGGAACACACAUGCAGCUUCCUGUGAUAGAACUUUAAAGACCCUGUUGGGCAGCCC
rnacentral:lncRNA from 1 species